rnacentral:rRNA from 1 species
AAGGAAUAUUGGUCAAUGGACGCAAGUCUGAACCAGCCAUGCCGCGUGGAGGAUGAAGGUCCUCUGGAUUGUAAACUUCUUUUAUCUGGGACGAAACACUUCUUUUCUAAGAGGCCUGACGGUACCAGAUGAAUAAGCACCGGCUAACUCCGUGCCAGCAGCCGCGGUAAUACGGAGGGUGCAAGCGUUAUCCGGAUUCACUGGGUUUAAAGGGUGCGUAGGUGGGUAUGCAAGUCAGUGGUGAAAUCCCCGAGCUUAACUUGGGAACUGCCAUUGAUACUAUAUAUCUUGAAUACCGUAGAGGUAAGCGGAAUAUGUCAUGUAGCGGUGAAAUGCUUAGAUAUGACAUGGAACACCAAUUGCGAAGGCAGCUUACUAUGCGGUGAUUGACACUGAGGCACGAAAGCGUGGGUAGCAAACA